CACCCGGGUCCUGCGCAAUGGAACCCCGCGAACCAUGUCAGGUCCGGAAGGAAGCAGCAUUAAGCGGGUCAUUCCAUGUGCCGCAGGGCAGCCUGGGUCGAGC
rnacentral:SRP_RNA from 1 species